rnacentral:rRNA from 1 species
UGGGUACGGGCAGACUAGAGUGAUGUAGGGGGAGACUGGAAUUCCUGGUGUAGCGGUGAAAUGCGCAGAUAUCAGGAGGAACACCGAUGGCGAAGGCAGGUCUCUGGGGCAUUUACUGACGCUGAGGAGCGAAAGCAUGGGGAGCGAACAGGAUUAGAUACCCUGGUAGUCCAUGCCGUAAACGUUGGGCACUAGGUGUGGGGGACAUUCCACGUUUUCCGCGCCGUAGCUAACGCAUUAAGUGCCCCGCCUGGGGAGUACGGCCGCAAGGCUAAAACUCAAAGGAAUUGACGGGGGCCCGCACAAGCGGCGGAGCAUGCGGAUUAAUUCGAUGCAACGCGAAGAACCUUACCAAGGCUUGACAUGUGCCAGACCGCCUCAGAGAUGGGGUUUCCCUUCGGGGCUGGUUCACAGGUGGUGCAUGGUUGUCGUCAGCUCGUGUCGUGAGAUGUUGGGUUAAGUCCCGCAACGAGCGCAACCCUCGUUCCAUGUUGCCAGCACGUAAUGGUGGGGACUCAUGGGAGACUGCCGGGGUCAACUCGGAGGAAGGUGGGGAUGACGUCAAAUCAUCAUGCCCCUUAUGUCUUGGGCUUCACGCAUGCUACAAUGGCCGGUACAAUGGGUUGCGAUACUGUGAGGUGGAGCUAAUCCCUAAAAGCCGGUCUCAGUUCGGAUUGGGGUCUGCAACUCGACCCCAUGAAGUCGGAGUCGCUAGUAAUCGCAGAUCAGCAACGCUGCGGUGAAUACGUUCCCGGGCCUUGUACACACCGCCCGUCAAGUCACGAAAGUUGGUAACACCCGAAGCCGAUGGCCUAACCACCUUGU